GGAGACAGGAAGAGGGAGGGAGAGUUAGAGAGGGGAAGAGAGGAGGAAGAGGGGGAGGGAAACAGGGAAUAGUCAGGAAAAUGGAAAGAGGAAGGAAAAAAGAGAGGUGGAGGGAGAAAAAGGGGUAGAGAAAGGAAGAGGGACAAGAAGAGGUGGGAGAAAAGAGAUGGAGGAGGAGAUGAGGGGAUGGAGGAAGAGGAGAGUAGAGAGACAUGGAAGGAGAGCAAAGAGAGAUGAAAGGAGAGAAAGAGAUGGAAGGGAGAGGAGUGGAGCGAGAAGAGAGAUGGAAAGCAGAGAAAUGUUAGUAGAGGAGAGCAGAGAGGGAUGGAAAGGAGUGCAGAGAGACGAAGGGAAAGAGAGGAGAGCAUAGAGAUAAGAAAGAGAUGGAGGGAGAGCGAACUGAGAAGAAAGGCAAAGUGAGGGAGGAGGGUUUGAAACAGGAAGGGAGGGAGGGAGGAGCAGAGAAAGAAUGGAGGAGAGAAGGGGAAAGAAAGGAGCUCAGGCAGAGCGGAGAGAUGAGGCGGAGGGCCUCGGAGAGGCGAGAGUUGGAGCUGGGGCAAGGACAGGAGAAGACAGAGAGAGGUGAUGAGAAAAUGGAGACAAACAGGAUUAAGUGACUUACCCGGGUGCACAGAGCGAGUAUUUGAAGUUGGAUAUGAACUCAGGUCUUCCUGACUCCAGGCCUGGCACUCUGUCCACUACACCACCUAGCUUCUCUUGGCUGCUUUCAACUUGUCAGCUUCAGUCUGUCUCUGCCUGUUCCUGUCAUCUCAAAAUAUGCUAACAUAUAUCUGCCAUGUUUGGGGAGCUAGAAGAGUAAUAAGACUCAGUUUUUGCCCUCGUGGAAUCCAUGGAACAGACCAGUAGGAGAAGCUUUCUGUCCCCUGAUAACUGUAAUACAAGGUGGCAUGAAGCAGAAAAUGGCAUGAUAUGUUGGCAAAAGAGCUGGACGAAUGAAGAGUCCAAAAAAUCGUGUGUUCUAAUCCUGCCUCUGACUCUUCCUAGCUGUGUGACUUGGGAAAACCACUCAAUCAUUGUGGAUGAAAGUGGAACAGAUUAUCUUAUUUCAUAGUGAAGUCCAUGUCACUGGAAGUCUUCAAGCUUCAAGCUUCAUUCAAGGCUGAAUGAGCAGUUAGUUGUGGGGGAGGAUACAGCAGACAUUUCGGUUCCCAUAUGAGCUGAACCAGAUACACCCUGGGGUUCUUUCUAGUUCUUGGAUAAAGCAUUGAAUAAAAUGAUGAUGAUGGACAGUGA